GUAGAUAUCAGGAGGAACACCAACGGCGAAGGCAGCUCACUGGACAAGUACCGACGCUGAGGGACGAAAGCGUGGGGAGCGAAAGGGAUUAGAUACCCCUGUAGUCCACGCCGUAAACGUUGUGCACUCGCUAUUGCCGGCUUCGACCCCGUCAGUGGCUAAGCUAACGCGAUAAGUGCACCGCAUGAGGACUACGGCCGCAAGGCUAAAACUCAAAGGAAUUGACGGGUCACCAGCACAAGACGGUGGAGCAUGUGGCUUAAUUCGAUGCAACGCGAAGAACCUUACCAGGCCUUGACAUGUGGUGGACCGCCCGCGAAAGCGGGCUUCUCUUCGGAGCCGCCUCACAGGUGCUGCAUGCGCUGUCGUCAGACUCGUGUCGUGAGAUGUUCGGUUAAGCCCGUCAACGAGCGCGACCCCUGUCCUUAGUUGCCAUCAUUCAGUUGGGGACUCUAAGGAGACAAUCCCGCAUUCGCGGGAGUGAAGGUGGGGAUGAUGUCAAGUCAGUAUGGCCCUUACGGCAUGGGCUGCACACGUGCUACAAUGCCCGGUACAGUGGGAUGUUACUCCGCGAGGAGAUGCAACCCUCAAGCCGGGACAGUUCGGUUUGGAGUCUGCAACUCGACUCCAUGAGGCCGGAAUCGCUAGUAAUGGCGUAUCAGCAACGACGCCGUGAUACGUUCCCGGGGAUUGUACACACCGCCCGUCACAUCAUGAAA
rnacentral:rRNA from 1 species